UACGAAGGGGGGCUAGCGUUGUUCGGAUUUAGCUGGGCGUAAAGCGCACGUAGGCGGAUCGUUAAGUCGGGGGUGAAAUCCUGGAGCUCAACUCCAGAACUGCCUUCGAUACUGGCGAUCUUGAGUCCGGAAGAGGUGAGUGGAACUCCUAGUGUAGAGGUGGAAUUCGUAGAUAUUAGGAAGAACACCAGUGGCGAAGGCGGCU
rnacentral:rRNA from 1 species